UACGUAGGGCGCAAGCGUUGUCCGGAUUUAUUGGGCGUAAAGAGCUCGUAGGCGGUCUGUCGCGUCGGCUGUGAAACCCCGAGGCUCAACCUCGGGCCUGCAGUCGAUACGGGCAGACUAGAGUGUGGUAGGGGAGACUGGAAUUCCUGGUGUAGCGGUGAAAUGCGCAGAUAUCAGGAAGAACACCAACGGCGAAGGCAGCUCGCUGGGACGGUACUGACGCUGAGACGCGAAAGCGUGGGGAGCGAACAGG
rnacentral:rRNA from 1 species